CCGGCGACCGGCGCACGGGUGAGUAACACGUAUGCAAUCCACCUGUAACAGGGGGAGUAACCCGGGGAAAUCCGGACUAAUACCCCAUAAUAUGGGCUCUCCGCAUGGAGGGUCCAUUAAAGAGAGCAAUUUUGGUUACAGACGAGCAUGCGCUCCAUUAGCCAGUUGGCGGGGUAACGGCCCACCAAAGCGACGAUGGAUAGGGGUUCUGAGAGGAAGGUCCCCCACAUUGGAACUGAGACACGGUCCAA
rnacentral:rRNA from 1 species